GGAAGAAAGUUGGGGGUGUGGGAGGCUUUUCUCCCCUGGGUUAACUCCAACUGCAUUGGCUGACAGCCUGGUGUAAAAAGAACAACUACAUACAGGUGCUCAGCCAGCAUCCUUGCUGGGUAACCAGGCUGCUGGUCUUAAUUACCCUCACAUUUCACCUAUAAAAACAAUUGUAUUCUUUUCCAGAGGAGUGUCCAGCGGCCCAUGUGGUGUGUGGGAGAGAAACCAGUCGCAGCCCAAUGACUAGGUGGGCCCAGCGGGCUUCGCGGCAGGAGGGCCAUCACUGACCGGGCUCCUCUCCACUCCAGACCCAAAGCAAAGGGCUGGGGCCGACUUUGGAAACGGGAAGCAGCAAAUUCACAUAUUUUGUGGAAGUGAGAAUCAGUUAACUGUUGAGAACAAAAUUCUAAAUGUGCUUACCUUUUGGAACAGUGAUGACAUCUGACAGUGAAAUUUAACAUAGGUACCAACACCAGCAGCCUCUAUCUGUCUUAUUAAAAAGCCUCAAAUGACCAUCGAAGGAUACUGACAAGACCACAUUCGCCUUUAUCACAGAAGGAAGAGGAAAGGCAGUGCUUAAUUGUUUGAACCAGUUUGCUUGUGGUGGAUUAACAACCUCCAUUCCAUUCCACUUGUUAGAGAAGGAACUUAAACCUACGAGAAGUCCAUCACUGCAGAGGAACAUGACAUCUGCCCCUCUGGGCUCUACGGGGAGGUCGCUGCGAGGCCAUCCACACACAAGCAAUACUGACAUGACGUUACUUCCAAUGCCAACAGUCUCUCUGACGGUAAAGCACGCAAGGGGGGGGGGUCUGCCCUCCCAAGUGCAAUACCAAGCCAAGGACCUUCACUUCCCUCCCUCCCAUCCCCCCCAAAACUCCUGUGAACAAAUGUGGUUUGUAGCUCCUAGGAGCUCCAUCCAUGCAUUAAGGCACCAGAACUAUCCCCCCUGCUCCAAAAUUAAACAGCAACCUGGUAUGAAAA